CAGCAGCCACGGUAAUACGAAGGGUGCAAGCGUUACUCGGAAUUACUGGGCGUAAAGCGUGUGUAGGUGGUAGUUUAAGUCUGUCGUGAAAGCCCUGGGCUCAACCUGGGAAUUGCGGUGGAUACUGGGCGACUAGAGUGCGGUAGAGGAUAGUGGAAUUUCCGGUGUAGCAGUGAAAUGCGUAGAGAUCGGAAGGAACAUCUGUGGCGAAGGCGACUAUCUGGGCCAACACUGACACUGAGACACGAAAGCGUGGGGAGCAAACAGGAUUAGAUACCCCUGUAGUCCCUGUCUCUUAUAC
rnacentral:rRNA from 1 species